UCGAACAGCGACAUCCGGCACCGAGGCAGUCCGGGCUCCUCUCUGUUCGGGCUCCGGAGGAACCGAGCGACUCGACCGGUUCACCGGGAGAUCCGGAUCCACCCCGGUGGGGGGGGGGGGCGAACCGAUCCGACAUCUGAGGCUCUGCGGCCCGAUGGGAGCUGCGACAUAUCCGGACCCGGAGCGCCUGGAUCCCGGUUCCUGAUCCGUGUGGGGGGGUCUCGGUGUGCUCGGUCCCGGGCGGAUCCUCGUCCUCGUGCUGGUCCGGAUUCAAACGAUCAUGACUCAUCCGCCUGCGAUCCUCUAAUCUGGAUUUAAACCUGAGACCGGAUCUGGAUUAGUCUGCUCCUGGUUCUGAUCGGGUCCAUCUGACCCGGUCUGAACAGGUCUGGGUCCCGGUGUGAUCUCUGGUCCUGUCUAGUCCUGGUUCUCUCUGCUGUCAUCAUGCCGACGUCCCGGCCUGGUUCCGAUCCGGUGGAGUUCUGGGUGGAGGGUUCGAGGCGGGACGGGACCGUGGAGGAGUUCUACACCCUGAGCUCCGAGCUGGGCAGAGGAGCCACGUCCAUCGUUUAUCGCUGUGAAGAGAAACAGACUCAGAAACUCUACGCUGUCAAAGUCCUCAAGAAAACGAUUGACAAGAAAAUAGUUCGUACAGAAAUUGGAGUCCUGCUGCGUCUGACUCAUCCAAACAUCAUCCAGCUGAAGGAGAUCUUUGAGACGGACACUGACAUCGCUCUGGUUCUGGAGCUCGUGACUGGUGGAGAGCUGUUUGACAGGAUCGUGGAAAGAGGUUACUACAGCGAGAGAGACGCCGCUCACGUCAUCAAACAAAUCCUGGAGGCUGUGGCGUAUUUACAUGAACAUGGCGUGGUGCAUCGUGACCUGAAACCAGAGAACCUGCUGUAUGCCGACCUGUCACUGGACGCUCCGCUCAAGAUAGCCGACUUUGGUCUCUCCAAAAUCAUCGAUGACCAAGUCACCAUGAAGACGGUGUGUGGUACCCCGGGGUACUGCGCUCCAGAGAUUCUGAGGGGAAACGCCUACGGACCUGAAGUGGACAUGUGGUCAGUGGGCGUCAUCCUCUACAUCCUACUGUGUGGGUUCGAGCCCUUCUUCGACCCGAGGGGCGAUCAGUACAUGUACAGCAGAAUCCUCAACUGCGACUACGAGUUUGUGUCUCCGUGGUGGGACGAGGUUUCCCUCAAUGCAAAGGACCUGGUGAGCAAGCUGAUCGUGCUGGACCCUCACAAGCGCCUCAGUGUCCGGGAGGCUCUGCAGCACCCGUGGGUGCUGGGCAAGGCCGCCCGCUUCUCCCACAUGGACACCACCCAGAGGAAGCUGCAGGAGUUCAACGCUCGGCGUAAGCUCAAGGCUGCCAUGAAGGCCGUGGUCGCCACCAGCCGCAUGAACGAGGGGUCGCGGCGUCGUACCGACAGCUGUGAGAUCCCGGGCUCAGGGGCGUCCAGGCAGAGCAGCAUGCAGCAGGACCAGCCUCCUGAUUCCACAGACCCCGCCCCUUCAGACCAAGAAGCCCCGCCCUCAGAUCAACGGCCACAAGAAGAUGAAUCAAAGCCCAACGACAAAAGUGCUCGUAGCCCCUCGUCUCCACGUGUUCUCAAACCCCCCAGCUCUGAUGUCACGGCCACAGAGCCCGCCCCCCCCACCAGGCCACCGCUGCGGGCCGACGGGCUGCGGCAGGCGUCCGUCUGUCCUAAAACUGUCCUGGUCCAACCCCGACCGCCGCAGAAGAGCUGCUCCAUGGUAGAGCCCGCCUCCAGAGUCCAGGUCACGCCGUCGAGUCCCAACAGCCUCACUAAUGGCUUCACGCCAGGGGCGGAGCCAGCCAGUAAGAUGCCCCACGGCCAGUGAUCACCUGACAGAGCGGCCCCAGCUUCACACAAUCACAACAAUCACGAGGUUCGGCCGUUUCGCUCCAACUUCAUUCAUUUAAAACAUUUUACUUGUAGCCGCCUCUUCCAGUGCUAGUCCAUCAGCUGAUGCUAACAUGCUAACAGCUACGUACUCACAGUUGUUUUAUACCAGUGGUUGAGCUGCUGGUUUUUAGAGGUUUGUCCAGUUCAGGAAUCAUACGAGCUGUUUGUUUUACUGUGGUGAGAAAAACCCCAGAGACGCUAACAGACGCCUCAAGCUAAGCUAACAGCUGCUGAGGCUAAACGCUAACUGAACGGGAAACCUCCCAGACAUCAUCUGAACGCAGCUUCGGGUGAAACCCCUGAUCUCCUGGUUAUGACGUGAGAAGCAGUGUUAACGUUAGUGGGCGUGGUCAAGUUUGAGCAGAAUGCUGCUAGGCAACAUCAACAUGGAUGUUAAAAUAACAAUCCCUGUUAACACGCUGCAGGAAAUAAAAAGGCUCAUUGACACGGAGCAAAGUCAAAGCCAAAUGAAACAUCAACAUUUCCUUUGAUGGAAAAUUAAGAAAAACAAGAAACAAUACAAAAUGUUCAUAAUCACUGUUUCUGUGGUGGUGACGACCACAAGAGGGCAGCGUUCACAUCAGCUUCUACACCUUAUCAAGAGGAAGGAAACUCAAGAUGUUUCCUGUUAAACUCCUCUGACUUCUUGUUGAAAACAGUUGUGAUAUUAUCAUAAAUGAUCCUUUUCCAGUUGUGUGUAAAACAUUGCUGUUUUAGUCAAGAGAUUUAAAUAUAUCUCUGAAUAUAUAAUUAUAGAGUUAAUGUUGGAUUUUAUUGGUGGUUUAUCUUCCAUUAAUAAUAUUUGUCACCAAAUGUAAGAAGUCGGAGGCUGGUUAUGUAAAAUCACGGGUUAAACGAUAUGACAUGAACAUGAAACCCUCUUCAGGCUCAGAUCAAACCACGUCUCUGUGUUUGGUUCUUACCACAUUAAAAAACCUGAAGUGAACCAGUGAAGUGAACCAGUGAAGUGAAGCGGUUCUGGAAACAUCUGGAAUCCAGCUGCUGGGAAUCAGGUUCAGAACCUGAAGAUGCUGGGAGCAGAUCUCAGGAUCUGAUCUGAGAUCUGUCUUUCUGUUUGAAUGGAGGAAAGGAAUGAAGCUUCAUCUGGUUGCCAUGGUGACAUCAUGAUGGUAUCAAUAGGAGCAUCAGCUACUUCAGGCGCAGUACUCCACAGUACUACAGUACUCCACAGUACUAAAGUACUCCACAAUACUCCACAGUUCUACAGUACUCCACAGUUCUACAGUACUCCACAGUACUACAGUACUCCACAGUACACUACAGUACUCCACAGUACUCUACAGUACUACAGUACUCCACAGUACUCUAUAUGGUUAAUGGUUUGUAUAUAACACUUUUCUAGUCUUGAUGACACUCAAUGUCUUGACAGUAGUUUUCCAUUCACACACACAUUCACACAAAGCAUCUCUUAGCAGCACUUCUUGUUCUAUGAGGGCAGGUCGGGGGUCAGCGUCUUGCCCAAGGACCCUUCGGCACGCAGAUGGGGACGACUGGGGAUCGAACUGCCGACCUUCUGGUUGAAGGACAACCGCUCUACCCCUCACCCAGUACUCCACAGUACUCCACAGUACUGCAGUACUCCACUAGGAUGAACGUCCUCGUGGUUCAAACAUUAUAUCGUCGGAGGGGCUUCCAAAAGAGGAAACCAACCAGCGGUGGCUCGGACACUUCAACCUGCACAGCGAAGCUUAGACGAGUCAUGUGACUGAUAAGAACCAAUCAGGAAGAGAACGUCUGAGUCAUCGUUUACUAAAGUCUCAGUUUCUGUUCAGACUCAAACACAAACCCAGAGUUUAAGAAGCUGAAACGAGACCAGUUUACACCGGUCUCUGAUCCAGAGGCUGGAAAACUCCACCAGGUGUAACCAUAGCAACGGGGAUGAGGUUUAAAACGGUUGUCAUGGUGAUCGCUGUGUGCGUUGUUCUGUCUCAGCCACCGUACAAACAUGUCGGUCCCUUUAAAGAGGAAGUGAGCGCACAAACCUUUUGACCUCUGACCUGAGGCUGAAGGGCUCUGAUUGGUCGAGGAGCUCUGACAGAUGUGUGUGUUCCUCAGGUGAGAAACUCGGACGAAUCUCGACUCUUCUGUACAAACAUGAAUAUUUUACUUCUAUUAAUCUGCCUG